rnacentral:misc_RNA from 1 species
GAAAUGCGAUAAGUAAUGUGAAUUGCAGAAUUCAGUGAAUCAUCGAAUCUUUGAACGCACAUUGCGCCCCCCGGUAUUCCGGGGGGCAUGCCUGUUCGAGCGUCAUUUCACCACUCAAGCCUCGCUUGGUAUUGGGCGACGCGGUCCGCCGCGCGCCUCAAAUCGACCGGCUGGGUCUUUCGUCCCCUCAGCGUUGUGGAAACUAUUCGCUAAAGGGUGCCGCGGGAGGCCACGCCGUAAAACAACCCCAUUUCUAAGGUUGACCUCGGAUCAGGUAGGGAUACCCGCUGAACUUAAGC